rnacentral:rRNA from 1 species
AGCAGCCGCGGUAAUUCCAGCUCCAAUAGCGUAUAUUAAAGUUGUUGCAGUUAAAAAGCUCGUAGUUGAAUUUCGGGAUCAGUUUGUUGGUCGUGCUUCGGUACGUACUGUCAUUACUGGUUUCUCCCUUCUGAAGAACCUUGAUGUCAUUAAUUUGGUGUCUUGGGGAAUCAGGACUGUUACUUUGAAAAAAUUAGAGUGUUUAAAGCAGGCAUACGCUUGAAUACAUUAGCAUGGAAUAAUGAAAUAGGGCGUUUGAUUCUAUUUUGUUGGUUUCUAGGAUCGACGUAAUGAUUAAUAGGGAUAGUUGGGGGCAUUAGUAUUCAAUUGUCAGAGGUGAAAUUCUUGGAUUUAUUGAAGACUAACUACUGCGAAAGCAUUUGCCAAGGAUGUUUUCAUUAAUCAAGAACGAAAGUUAGGGGAUCGAAGACGAUCAGAUACCGUCGUAGUCUUAACCAUAAACUAUGCCGACUAGGGAUCGGAUGAUGUUAAUUUUUAAUGACUCAUUCGGCGCCUUACG